rnacentral:rRNA from 1 species
UGUAAGCGUAUACCAAAGUUGUUGCAGUUAAAACGCUCGUAGUCGGAAUUUGGCAGUUCCGGAUGUGCGCACGUCGUGUGCGCACUUCGCGGGGAUUGCUUUUGUGGUCUUGCGUAGGAUGAGGCACUUUUAUUAGUGAACGUCCUCACGCAACCACUUUUUACUGUGAGAAAAUCAGAGUGCUCAAAGCAGGCAUUUGCCGUGAAUGUAUUAGCAUGGAAUAAUAGAAUAGGACCUGGUUCUAUUUUGUUGGUUUGUUGGGACUGAGUAAUGAUUAAGAGGGACAGUUGGGGGCAUUUGUAUUUCGGUGCUAGAGGUGAAAUUCUUAGAUUACCGAAAGACAAACUGCUGCGAAAGCGUCUGCCAAGGAUGUUUUCAUUGA